UACGUAGGGUGCAAGCGUUAAUCGGAAUUACUGGGCGUAAAGCGUGCGCAGGCGGUUUUGUAAGUCUGUCGUGAAAUCCCCGGGCUCAACCUGGGAAUGGCGAUGGAGACUGCAAGGCUAGAAUCUGGCAGAGGGGGGGUAGAAUUCCACGUGUAGCAGUGAAAUGCGUAGAGAUGUGGAGGAACACCGAUGGCGAAGGCAGCCCCCUGGGUCAAGAUUGACGCUCAUGCACGAAAGCGUGGGGAGCAAACAGG
rnacentral:rRNA from 1 species